CAGAGGAAUAUCGGAAGCUGCGAAGAGCAAGGAAAACAUGGAAUUCUAGCCGCAAGCUGCAGCAUCCGGAGCUUGUCGAUGGAGUGAGGGGCAUGCAUUCGGCUACCUAAUGCAUCGCAGGCACCCUCUAACAUCUCCUGGCUGCCAUUGGGCGUGGAGUUCCCCAGUCUUCACUGCUGCUGUAGCCACCUCGUCGGCCAUGAACAUUAGGACUUUAUUUGCGUUUUAACUUGUCUUCAUUUUUCUGUUCUUUGUUUCGCGUUUCUUUACUUGCGUGUCAUCUUUUUGGUGUGACAAGUGUAGUGCAUGAGUGUUUUUAAAUCGAUACUCCACUUUCUUGUGGUAUUGUGAGCGCGUCUUCACAAGUUGCUUUGAUAUGUGAUCGUCAGCCUUCUGAAAUGAUGCACACAACACACACCAUGUGGCGUCAUUUCAUGCGGCAAGCUUGUAAGCAUAGCCUUUCUCUCCAGUAAAACAGACACUGCAAGAUUUCGUGGCAGUGCUUGCCCUUCAUAAGGUUUUUGACAUGUGCUAGUCAGCUAUCUGAAAUGAUAUGCAGACCAUGCUUGACUGUACACCAAAAGACUGUAGUUGUCACUUUACGUAGGAAUGUAUGUGACACAAGUGUUUUUACAAGUUGCACUAAAGGAUGAUAUGCCUGUUUACAACUCACAGAAGGUGCUUUUACACUAAGCAAAAUAAUCACACAGUCUACUAUCUGUGUCCUUUUUGAAACUGCAGUUGACUUUUGCGUGGGUCACAGCUAUCAAUCAUUUUGCAAAGUAAUGUCCUCGAAAACCAAACAUAAACUUUUUUUGCAAACAAAUUAGGUCAGUUACAUUGCAACAUGCAUUUUACAUUUAUGUAAUGUUGACGCUAUAUCUGUAAGAAAAAACUUUGCUAUUGCUAUACAGGAAAGCAUCCCGUCAAUUGCACAGGUGUGUUUUGCACACUGUAUACAUUGGUUUGUCUUGCUGCUUCAUGUACUACCAUUCUUAUGCAACUGUCCUUUCUUAUAAACAUUGACAAACCGCCAUCUCGUUAGGGGUACUAUACUACUCUGUAAUAUAUCUGAAAUGCAUAGCUGUGCACACAAUUGCCCAUGUACCUUGUGAUUCGUAUACUGUGCACAUUUCAUGUGUCCCUUUUUUCUCAUGCGGUAGGAUGAAACACAGACAUGUGCCGAACUUAAAUGAGGUGCGUAGACAUUGUUUACAGUAUUGGUCCCUGCCACACGCAACCACAAAGGUGCUCCUUGAGACGCAUAUAACGCUUUUAGCAACGUAACAUGUCCAUAGUAGAAAGGCAUGCUGAUGUCAUCUAUAUUUGCAUUGUAGUAGUCAUUAAUUACCCAUGCAGUACAAUGUCACACUGUGCUUCCUUCAGCAUGAUGUUUCUUGUAACUUGUGCAUGUAAUAAAUGUCAGUAAUGCUUUAAAAACAUGACACUACAGUUUCACAAUGUGCGUUUAUUUACAGAGAGUAUAUGCCGUCUUUGCAUUGGUGUGACCAUGAAUAAAUUCUUUUUUUACAAGG
rnacentral:lncRNA from 1 species